rnacentral:rRNA from 1 species
UGGGGAAUUUUGGACAAUGGGGGAAACCCUGAUCCAGCCAUCCCGCGUGUGCGAUGAAGGCCUUCGGGUUGUAAAGCACUUUUGGCAGGAAAGAAACGUCGCGGGUUAAUACCCCGCGGAACUGACGGUACCUGCAGAAUAAGCACCGGCUAACUACGUGCCAGCAGCCGCGGUAAUACGUAGGGUGCAAGCGUUAAUCGGAAUUACUGGGCGUAAAGCGUGCGCAGGCGGUUCGGAAAAGAAAGAUGUGAAAUCCCAGAGNUUAACUUUGGAACUGCAUUUUUUAAACUACCGGGGCUAGAUGUGUCAGAGGGAGGUGAAUUCCCGCGUGUAGCAGUGAAAAUGCGUAGAUAUGCGGAGGAACACCGAUGGCGAAGGNAGCCUCCUGGGGAUAACACUGACGCUCAUG